GCUGACUAGCUGACACAUCUCCUCUGGGUCCUAAAGCCCACCUUGUGAGAGCUGUUGCUUCCUCGGGUGUCACGAGCUGCGACGUCAGGAUCCUGCCAGCAGGUCCUAAACCUGAAAGGACGAGGACAGAGAGACGGGAGGCACUCUUCUUCUCAAGGCACUACUGCACUGCUUUAUUACCGAACCUCUCCUUUUAUACUCUCCUGCUGCGUGGCUGCAAGAGAGUACUGCCCACACAUCCGGAAGGAAACCACUCAGACUUCUCUUACUUGUGUUCCAGCUACUUGUGAUAAGAAGAGUAUGUCAAGCCAGCACAAGACCACCUGCCAAAUAACAAUAAAAAAGCUUAUGUGAUAUGUAUUUUAUGUAUGCUGUAUAUGUCAUGUAUGUUAUACACUGAGCAGUCCAGACAAUGCCAC
rnacentral:lncRNA from 1 species